CUGUUAUCACCCCUCUACUAUAUGACAGCCAACUAGUUGUGAGAGGCAAGAGUGGAGAGAGGAACAGUAUGUUAGAGGAGGGGCUUCUGUCCCACACAGAGCCCUCCCUCUUUUUGCCAAGCAGUGUAAAACCUCUUCUUGGAGUUUAUAAUAUCUGGAUGCCAGAAGUAGCUACAUUACCACCCAGAGCACUGAUGCCUUUCUUGUUUCUCUGAAAGGGAGAGCUUCUCCUUCAAAAGUCUAUUUCUGAGUCAGAGCUGGGAGAGCACAUCCAGACAAAGCAAAUAUGGUCCCCUUGGAUGGCUGGUCAGCCCCAUCCCAGGACUUCUGAAGAGUGGCAAACAGUAGUCCACCCUAAAGAGACCAGCAGACAGCAGUCCCUGGAGGAGCAGUCCCUCUAAGGCAGCUUGGAACCACUCACGUGCUCUGGAAAGGACAGAGCUGAGCCUGGAGCAAGGGGGGAGGAGGAGGGGAGAGACAAGAUAAUGAAUGGGCAGAUCCACCCUGAUCUAUGAUCUGUAGCUAGGAUUGAGCAAAUCUCAGCUAAAUUCUUCAGAAGCAGGAAGAGAUACACACUUAGAGAAAAACAUAACUAGAGGACUGGCUCGGGGGAGACGGGGCAAGACAAGACGACAGUUCAUUCCUAAUAAGUGACCCAGAUUUCAAA